rnacentral:ncRNA from 1 species
UAACAGGGGAGCUUGUUUUACAGGCUGAGAGGAAGUUUUUAACUUCGACCCUUAUACCUGAUGUGGAUAAUGCCGCCGUAGGAAUUAUAUUUU